rnacentral:rRNA from 1 species
UUCGAACGAAGACUGGCCCUCACCUAGCCCUCUCCCCUCAGGGGAGAGGGUGUGGGUGAGGGGCCGGACUGAGUGGCGAAAGGGGCAGUAAGGCGUGGGUAAGCUAGCCCUGGGGACCGGGAUAGCCUUCCUAACGGAUGGGUAAUACCUGGGCGAUCUGCCGAGGAGGCAUCUCCUUGUCAGGAAAUGAGUUUCGCCUCGGGAGGGGCUCACGUGAUAUUAGCUAGUUGGUGAGGUAAUGGUCACCAAGGGCGAGAUGUCUAGCAGGUGUGAGAGCACGACUGGCCCAUGGCACUGAGACACUGGCCAGACACCUACGGGUGGCUGCAGUCGAGGAUCUUCGGCAAUGGGCGCAAGCCUGACCGAGCGACGCCGCGUGUGCGAUGAAGGCCUUCGGGUUGUAAAGCACUGUCGAGGGGGAGGAAGGCGCAAGCUUGACCUAUCCCUGGAGGAAGCACGGGCUAAGUUCGUGCCAGCAGCCGCGGUAAGACGAACCGUGCGAACGUUGUCGGAAUCACUGGGCUUCAACGGGCGCGUAGGCGGGUACGGAAGUCCGGGGUGAAAGCCCCCAGUCAAUGGGGAAGGGCUUGGAAACUGCCGGUACUCGAGGGACGGUAGGGGGCCUGUGCGAA